rnacentral:rRNA from 1 species
UACGUAGGGAGCAAGCGUUAUCCGGAUUUAUUGGGUGUAAAGGGUGCGUAGACGGGAUAGCAAGUUGGUUGUGAAACCCCUCGGCUCAACUGAGGAACUGCAACCAAAACUAUUAUUCUUGAGUACAGGAGAGGAAAGUGGAAUUCCUAGUGUAGCGGUGAAAUGCGUAGAUAUUAGGAAGAACACCGGUGGCGAAGGCGACUUUCUGGACUGUAACUGACGUUGAGGCACGAAAGUGUGGGGAGCAAACAGG